rnacentral:rRNA from 1 species
AUUGAACGCUGGCGGCAUGCCUUACACAUGCAAGUCGAACGGCAGCACGGGAGCAAUCCUGGUGGCGAGUGGCGAACGGGUGAGUAAUAUAUCGGAACGUGCCCAGUCGUGGGGGAUAACGCAGCGAAAGCUGUGCUAAUACCGCAUACGAUCUAAGGAUGAAAGCGGGGGAUCGCAAGACCUCGCGCGAUUGGAGCGGCCGAUAUCAGAUUAGCUAGUUGGUGGGGUAAAGGCCUACCAAGGCAACGAUCUGUAGCUGGUCUGAGAGGAUGAUCAGCCACACUGGGACUGCGACACGGCCCAGACUCCUACGGGAGGCAGCAGUGGGGAAUUUUGGACAAUGGGGGCAACCCUGAUCCAGCCAUUCCGCGUGAGUGAAGAAGGCCUUCGGGUUGUAAAGCUCUUUCGGCAGGAACGAAACGGCGAGCUCUAACAUAGCUUGCUAAUGACGGUACCUGAAGAAGAAGCACCGGCUAACUACGUGCCAGCCGCCGCCGUAAGAC